UACGUAGGUGGCGAGCGUUGUCCGGAUUUACUGGGCGUAAAGAGCGCGCAGGCGGUCGUUCAAGUCGCGUGUGAAAGCCCCCGGCUCAACUGGGGAGGGUCACGCGAUACUGAUCGACUCGAAGGCAGGAGAGGGUAGUGGAAUUCCCGGUGUAGUGGUGAAAUGCGUAGAUAUCAGGAGGAACACCGGUGGCGAAGGCGGGGUCCUGGGCCAGUACUGACGCUGAGGCGCGAAAGCGUGGGGAGCAAACAGG
rnacentral:rRNA from 1 species